AUUAUUCUCCGUUAACCACUGCUGAUGGGGCCAGGCAAAAGAAUCACACAGUCACUGUUUCUGCUGGUUGAUUCAUCAGGACAGAUGGUUGUGAUUGUUGCAUCAUCAUCAUAGAGGUCAGAUCAUUGAGUGCUUCCAGUUGUCUGAUCCUGAGGGAUUCCAUCUGGUACAUGAAUGGCUGCUAAAAGGCUGCCCUUAACCUGGCUUUCCCACACAAUGGGGAAGCUGACUUCCGACCUCUGCAGGCUACAAGGGGAGGAGCCCAAGAAUGCUGUUUCUGGAGUCAGUCCGUCUGGGUUUGAAUCCUUGCCUUUCCAUGUAUUAAGGCAAAUGACUUCACUUUCUGAGCCUCAACUUCCGUAUUUGAAAAAUGGGGUAAUCUUAGAAUCUACUUCAUAUGAAUUAAAUGGGGUAAUCUUAGAAUCUACUUCAUACAACACAUUGCUGGAAUGUUUAUUUAUUUAUUUAUUUAUUUAUUUUAGGGCUGCACACACAGCAUAUGGAAGUUCCCAGGCUAGGGGUUGAAUCAGAGCUGUAGCUGUCGGCCUAGGCCACAGCCACAGCAAACACAGGAUCCUUAACCCACUGAGCAAGGCCAGGGAUUGAACCUGCGCCCACUUGGAUACUAGUCAGGCUUGUUACUGCUGAGCCACAACAGAACUCCAGCUGGCAUUUCUAAAGUGUUGAUUGCUAGUGCUGUGGUUAUGACUGUCGUUAUCAACAUUAUUAUGGAGCUGUUCCUCUCCCCUGACUUCAACAUGAAAAACUUCAGGAGUUCAUUCUGAUUGGCCCAGCUUGAGUCAUGUGCUCACUCCUGUGGUCAAGGGGGUGGGGAAUCAUGAUGGGUGGCUCCACUGGAUACAAAUGGAUGGUUGGAUGUGGGGUGUUGGUGCCUGAAUGAAGGAAAGUCUGCUUCUGGAAGAAGGAAGGGUGGGAUAAUGGGGACUAACAGGAGGUGUCCCCUCCAGGGAAUGAGGUCAGUGGAUAAAGAAAGGGACUGGAAUCUUCACUACCUGUUCCUCUCAUUUUGACAGCUGCAUACUUUCAUACAUUCUGCUUAAGUGAAUUUGACAUGAGGAUUUCCUAAAGGCAGGGAUCUGGUGUCUGCAGAAUCUAUUAUAGGUCCUAUUUGAUGACUUAGGUGCCACAUGGAGAGGCAGCAGGACCCAGGGUGGCCAGUUGUCAAGGUUGGCUGGCUGGGCAGAGUGCACAGCCAACAUCAUAGGGUGCCAUGUGCUUCUUCUUCUUCUUCAUNUUUUUUUUUUUUUUUUUUUUUUUUUUUGCUUUUUAGGGCUGCACCUUUGGCAUAUGGAGGUUCCCAGGCUAGGGGUCUAAUCAGAGCUAUAGCGGCCGACCUAUGUCACAGCCAUAGCAACACCAUAUUGGAGCCGCAUCUGUGACCUACACCACAGCUCACAGCAAUGCCAGAUCCUUAACCCACUGAGUGAGGCCAGGGUUCGAACGUGCAACCUCAUGUUCCUAGUCCUAUUUGUUAACCACUGAGCCACGAUGGGAACUCCUGCCA
rnacentral:lncRNA from 1 species